AAGGCCUUCGGGUUGUAAAGUACUUUCAACUUGUGAGGANGGGUGUGUAGUUAAUAACUGCACAUCUUGACGUUAGCAACAGAAGAAGCACCGGCUAACUCCGUGCCAGCAGCCGCGGUAAUACGGAGGGUGCGAGCGUUAAUCGGAAUUACUGGGCGUAAAGCGCAUGCAGGUGGUUCAUUAAGUCAGAUGUGAAAGCCCGGGGCUNAACCUCGGAACUGCAUUUGAAACUGGUGAACUAGAGUACUGUAGAGGGGGGUAGAAUUUCAGGUGUAGCGGUGAAAUGCGUAGAGAUCUGAAGGAAUACCAGUGGCGAAGGCGGCCCCCUGGACAGAUACUGACACUCAGAUGCGAAAGCGUGGGGAGCAAACAGGAUUAGAUACCCUGG
rnacentral:rRNA from 1 species